rnacentral:rRNA from 1 species
GAUGAACGCUGGCGGCGUGCUUAACACAUGCAAGUCGAACGGGAUCCAAGGGGUGCUUGCACUUUUUGGUGAGAGUGGCGAACGGGUGAGUAACACGUGAGUAACCUGUCCUUUCCUUUGGGAUAAGCAUUCGAAAGGGUGUUUAAUACCUUAUGUUCUGUCUGCCUCGCAUGGGGUGGGUGGGAAAGGCUUUGGCCGGAUUUGGGUGGGCUCGCGGUCUAUCAGCUUGUUGGUGGGGUGAUGGCUUACCAAGGCUUUGACGGGUAGCCGGCCUGAGAGGGUGGUCGGUCACAUUGGGACUGAGAUACGGCCCAGACUCCUGCGGGAGGCAGCAGUGGGGGAUAUUGCACAAUGGGCGAAAGCCUGAUGCAGCGACGCCGCGUGGGGGAUGAAGGCCUUCGGGGUGUAAACUUCUUUUGCUCUGAACAAGGCAUGCCAGUGGGUGUGUUGAGUGUAGGGGUUGAUUAGCGCCGGCUAACUACGUG